GAAAUGCGAUAAGUAAUGUGAAUUGCAGAAUUCCGUGAAUCAUCGAAUCUUUGAACGCACAUUGCGCCCCCUGGCAUUCUGGGGGGCAUGCCUGUCCGAGCGUCAUUUCUGCCCUCAAGCACGGCUUGUGUGUUGGGUGUGGUCCCCCCGGGGACCUGCCCGAAAGGCAGCGGCGACGUCCGUCUGGUCCUCGAGCGUAUGGGGCUCUGUCACUCGCUCGGGAAGGACCUGCGGGGGUUGGUCACCACCAUAUUUCACCACGGUUGACCUCGGAUCAGGUAGGAGUUACCCGCUGAACUUAAGU
rnacentral:misc_RNA from 1 species